CUGGCGGCCGCGGCCCGCAGCAACGGCCCGGCCCCGCGGGCAGGAGGGAGGCUGCGAGGAGGUACCGGGCGCUCUCGUGCUCAGCCGGGCGGCCGCGUGGCGAGGAGCGGUGCUGAAGGGCGCCCCGGACUGGCCGCGGCAGGUGCAGGCGUCGCGUGCAACGCAGCUGUGGGGAGGCUCGUGCCGGCGGCUGCGGGUGCUGCAAGUAACUCCGUUACUCUCUUUGAUUGCUCCAGUGCAAAAUGAACCUUUCCAACAAGGCCACGAAUAUAUAGCUCCUCGGUCCGUGAUCUCCACCGUACCACUUGUAUCUUUCCCCCCGCUUGCCUUGCCGGCGGUGUGAACUCUCCAGUCUUAGAACUUCAUUUCAGCCAACUCUGCUCAGGAAGUUCCCACAGAUCUCAGCUCCCGACUGGGGAAGGACAUAGAGAACAGAGUUCUGGGAAGGGCAGCUCCUAACACGUGCCGUCGUUCAGGGUUGGAUCAGGAUGCCUUGGCCAGCUCCAGCCUCCUUUGCAGCAGAGGUAUAGGUCCUGCAACAGAUUCACAUGGCUCUGAUGGGGACUCCAGAACGAUCUAUACAACUGUAUGGGAACUGCUGAAUCACAGCCUGAAGCUCUGAUUGAUCAGCUGAGACAAGCACUGAGUGAAGGCAACCCACCUGUGUGACUGGAAGGGCUGGAGCCUGGCUCCACCUCUCCUGGACCCCAUUUAAGGGCUGACUGCCACUGGGGAAGGAUCUUUUUCUGGAUAUUGCUCUUCUUGGAGUUUUUCCUGCAAGCCUACAACAGCAGUGACAGCAUCCUGUUGAUAUUACUACUGCUUACUAUUUGUAUUAUAGCCGUGCUCAGACGUCGCAGAAGAGAUCUGGUGUAAGGAUCAAUGGAUACAAAUAUUUGAUCUGGAAUGGGGUUAUAACAGUCUGUUCAUCAGCAUGGGUGUAAAAGGAGGAGACAGAAAGAACCACAUCCCGACUACGCGUUAGAUGAGAAUGCUGCUGUAACAAACCUGCCAGGCUGUCCUCUGACACCCAAUUUUCAGCAAGGGGAAGCUCCUCGUGAGAAAUUUUCCUGCACGGAUUCCCAGUGUCCUUGGGAGCACUACAGGGGGUGACAAUGCUCCGUGCCUGGCCACAGCCGAAGUAGGGAUUGGGAGCUGCGCGGACCGGUGCUGGGGUGGGCGAAACAAACCGCCCACAAAACCCCGACCCUGCAGGGCCCUGCGUGGGCCGUCGCUGAGGUAAAAGCGCCUCAGC
rnacentral:lncRNA from 1 species